rnacentral:piRNA from 1 species
UGGAUCAAGAAGCGAAGGGCCUGAAU